GCCGGGUGUGGUGGCGUGCGCCUGUAGUCCCAGCUACUUGGGAGGCCGAGGCUGGAGGAUCACUUGAGCUCAGGAGUUCUGGGCUGCAGUGCACUAUGCCGAUUGGGUGUCCACACUAAGUUCGGCAUCAAUAUCUUGACCUUCCGGGAGCGGGGGACCACCAGGUUGCUUAAGGAGGGGUGAACCGGCCCAGGUCGGAAACAACAGUCAGUUUCCACUACUGUGAACCCUUUAAGUACCUUACUGAGACACAAGUCAAUCUUGGCAACAGUGAUCAGU
rnacentral:SRP_RNA from 1 species